CCUACGGGAGGCAGCAGUGAGGAAUAUUGGUCAAUGGACGAGAGUCUGAACCAGCCAAGUAGCGUGAAGGAUGACUGCCCUAUGGGUUGUAAACUUCUUUUAUAUGGGAAUAAAAUGUUCCACGUGUGGGAUUUUGUAUGUACCAUAUGAAUAAGGAUCGGCUAACUCCGUGCCAGCAGCCGCGGUAAUACGGAGGAUCCGAGCGUUAUCCGGAUUUAUUGGGUUUAAAGGGAGCGUAGGUGGAUUGUUAAGUCAGUUGUGAAAGUUUGCGGCUCAACCGUAAAAUUGCAGUUGAAUCUGGCAGUCUUGAGUACAGUAGAGGUGGGCGGAAUUCGUGGUGUAGCGGUGAAAUGCUUAGAUAUCACGAAGAACUCCGAUUGCGAAGGCAGUUCACUGGACUGCAACUGACACUGAGGCUCGAAAGUGUGGGUAUCAAACAGGAUUAGAUACCCGUGUAGUC
rnacentral:rRNA from 1 species